UGGCAGAUUGUCCAAAUCAUCCGCUGUGCCGUUUUAUUUCUGACGGCUUCCAACAGGUGGGCGCACCGGCGUUCGUUCGUUUGACUCGAUGAAUCGGUCGUCCGGCAGUGCUCACUUUUCAAGUUUAUUGGAGUAGGCCCUAGGGUAGGCCUGCCGUGAUUUUCCUGCAAACAUCGACCAGAAUGUAAAGCCCAUACGUCAUAUAUCCUUCUAAAGUUUUGUGAAGUGUUUCCCAGCAGCUUCCAUUGCAUUCGGCACGUCCUGCGGAUGUUUUUGUUCGUGAAAACACUCCCUGGAGACGCGGCUAUUUCCGCCAAUACCGUUGGAAUAAGCAAUUUUCUUUUUUUUUUUUUUAUGAACUGAUUUGGCAAUGCGCCACAGCUGAGAACAGCAGCCAGCGCAUUUAUUGUGCACACACCCGCAACAACGAGUAUUUCGAUCACGCCAAUAUGAUUUCAGAGACGCGCCAGGUUGCGCCGUGCGAUUAAUGCCGGUCACGGUUGUUUAUCAGCCUUCAGCGGCGCUAUCGCGGAGGCAUGCCAACCAGCGGACGUCCAGAGGAGUGAUGUGCACGUGAUACUAUAUGACGCUCGUCCGAAGUGCCGAAAAGUGGGCAAACAGCAGACAAGCAAACAGAAUUCAAACAGAGGACAUUCAAGAUAUUCGUUUAUAUAUAAGAUGCUGUACGUAAAUGCUCUUCACUAAAAAAAAAGAGAGAGAGAGAAAUAUGCGGUUCUGCGUGCUAAAACGAUUAUGAGGUACGCCGUAGUGGGGCACCCGGUGGUUAUUCUUUAGCGUGCACCUAAAUCUAAAGGCCAAACUACAUGUGCGCUUGCAGGCGCGCAAAAACUCACGCCCGCGCGCCUUACGUUUACCUCAUGAGGAAUGCUGAUUUGAACCAAGGAGGUCAUUAAAAGAAAAAAAAAAAAAAAAAAAAAACAUUGCUGGCGUGGCAGCCCCCGCAGUUUCUUACCAACACAGGCGAAGCAGCUCCACUCCGGCAAACAUUUUUAAGCCUCCUUGGUCACGCCAGGCCGCGUCCGUGAAUUUCAGUGCUGGUGCAGUCUACGCUUAGAUCUCUUUUUUGUUGUUUGUUUGCUUUCCUCUCUUUCAUUUGUAGUGACGGCCGUCUUGGGUAUACGUCACGGUCUCGGCGUAUAGGUACGGGCCUUGUGUUAGGUGUUUUCAUGACAUCUGUAUAAUGUUGUACCUUCGACGGUCUUACACGCGCUUGGCUCCUAGGUAAUUUUGAAUCGAGCACCGAGGCUGAGCUCUCCAGUCGAGUCUACUCCAGCGGCGCUGAGAGCUUCUCCCAAUCGGCGCGGUGUUCGAUAUGACCCUUAUCCCAGCGGCUGCAGGCGUGGCCGUUGAUGGAGGUACGGGAGAAGGAGCGGGCGAGAUUCUGCGAGAACCCGCUGCCGUGGUUAUAAACGGCCGCGCCGGCCAUGGUUUGGAGGAGGACACCGCCGGUUCUGUCACGCUACACUGAGGACGAAUAAAUGAGCGCAGCGCAGAUUAGCGCGCACGUCGAACCGGAAAUGGGAAUCCGAUUUCCUCUCUCUGCAACGGUCCGAUCUCCAAUCUUUGUCUUGCGCGGAACAUCCCGCCCUGUUCUUGCAAGCGGUAGUCGCGCAUGGAAGCGAGCACGGCUCCAUUGUGUCCUGUUCUGUCGGCCGUGACCUUUCUCUCCUAGCCGCGGAAAUAAAAAAAUAAACACAAAGAAAUGCGUUUAUGCGUCACUGGAAGGAUAUGCAGGCCGUUCUCACGCAGCCACCGGCGUUCCGCUGCCGCCGCCGCCGCGCGACCGUGAAACCGAAGGAAUGCGACGCUUUCUCGUAUUACACCCCCUGGUUUUGUCGGCAGCGUUGUCCGCACCCUGCAGCUUCCCACCCGCUAUACCUACUCUUAAGACCGCCAUUGCUGUUCAGCGGUAGUCGCUGCUUGCAACAUUUCGAAGCAGCUUUGUUUUUCUUUGCCACGUUUAAUCUCUUUCUGCCGUUUUAUCCUCUUAUUCCAAAGAAAGCGCAGAUUACGCGUCGAAUGUGCUCCAAUUACUGCUAAUAAACGUAUGCAUAGACAAACCACUCAACUAACGGUUAACAUUGCAGGCUUGGACAGUGAAUUUCACAUCUUCUUCUACAGGAAUCGGUUUCUAAGCCUUGGCUCACCUUGUUAUCGUUCCGCGUACUGUAAACAACUGGCGAAACAAGCGUCUAAGCCUCAAUUGCAACUUCCACUAAAAUAAGACGCACGCGUUUACGUAGGCGAGGCAUUAAUGCGACUCCGCUGGUUCCGCUCCAAUCUUAGCUUACGGAUUGUUUGCUCCGCUAUCCAGUGCGUCAUAUGCCCCAACACGGAUUGGCGCGGUAAUAAGUAUUUGUUCGGACCAAACACUUAUUGCCCGUCGUAUACCGAUUCUCGUGACCUUUUUUCUUGCUACGCUGCACAAAUAGCUCCAACUGAUGGACGUAUAGUCCUUACGCCAUGCGCGGCUAAUUCAUCCCAUGCCGGAUGGGGACCCAUCUCCGCUGACGUAAUUGGCGUAUCCACCGUAACCCGUAGCAAGGUUGUACGAAUCAAGGAACGGAUACGGCGAAGAUGCAUGCCCUGUGUGGUCGGCGAAAGACGACGUAGCGAAAACGAGUUUUUUCGCUUGUGUUUGUGUUUUCUUUUCCCCUUCACUUCUGCUGCUCUCCGUGUUUGCAGACGACGUCCGUCUGCCCAUAUGCGCACCUCUAACGUUUCUUUUCCUGUCGUCUGCAUUUCUCGUUUGAGGCGGCGGUAUACUGACACGGGUCCGCGAGUGGUGGCAACUAAAGAAAAAAAAGAAUGAGAACUGCCUCGCUCGUACACGACCACUUGCUCUUCUUCACGGUGUAAGAUUCAAGAUUGCCUCAGCUUAAGCGCGUUUUUCCAAACGGAUUUACCUGGUCUGGUCCCGACGGGCAGUUAGACAUAUUCGUGCCGGACCUGCUCGGCGUAGCAUGACGUCAGACAAGCGCGCGUUUGUGUGGGGCGUGCGCGCUAGGGACGACGCCGUUCGCCCCCAAAAAUAGCCGCACCAACACGGGCCCGCAAGAUAUUGCGUGCCGUCUGCUAGUACCCGCCCGCUAUCGUGUCGUCUGCAACCACGCAACCAGACGGCGACCGACAGACGGGUUUUCAUCUGCUACGCCAGGCACGGCCCCAUUCGGCGGUGGGUGUCGUCUGCUAUCGGCUCUGCACAUCUGCCGAGGUGCGUUCCACACGCGAAGAGGGUGUUUUUGUGUUUGUAUUUGUUUUUCGUUUUCUCUCUUUUGCUUGUUUGCCGUUGCUCUGUUUAUAUAUAACUCUUAUCCGUACCUAUUUCCGAAAAGUAGGAGAUUCCGCGGCGCCUCAAUUAAAUACCGCGCGGGUCAGGGAGACGCUUUUAGAACGCGCGUCACGUGGGCGGUUCUUUUGAUACGAUACCUGCGGGAAUGAAAAAUGUCUACCAGGUCCGCGCGGUCGUGUAAUUGAGCCCUAUACCGUAUCGUUGCACCACUGAAAGAACAGGCGGUGGCUGUUGUAUUACCGGGUUUCGUUGAUCGAAGCCUCCGCGCCGGUAUUCCUCGGUCUGACGUCACGAAUUUCGACGUUACUUUUCUCGUAUUUUCGCCGGUUUGGCGCAGGGAAUGUACUUUGAACAUUACUAAGUUGUGUCUCUAAUGUCCUAAAUAUGCGACUUAGUUCUUCUUUAUGGAUAAACAGUGUACUUGACCCUAGAAAAUGCCGCCAGAAUAUAUGACGUCACGGUGUGCGGGAACUUCUGGGCAGCGUCGCCGUGCACGGUGUCAAAUUUCGUUGUGGCGUCCUUUCUGGCUUGCUCAGCCUCCUUUCGCGGCACCAGUGUUUAUUUUGUUACUGCAGACGCGUAAUUUACUAAAGCAGCUCAUCUUAGUAUUACUCUUUACAGGGCCUUUAAACAAAUCGAGAUCGAGUGAGAUUACUUUGCAACUGGCAAAUUUUAAAGGCCGACUGCAACGAAAUUUCGGACCGCGUAAGAAGGGCUGUAGUUUAAAACAGCACUAAUAUAGGGCAGCGUCCGCACUAAAGCUUGUGCUUGAGAAAAAACGAAAAAAAGAUCGCUAGAGCGCUUUAUACACAGAAGAAAAAAAAAACAUCACGCAGAAACUGCUAUGAGAGUUCUCUAAGUAUGCGUAAGCAUUGUGCCACUUACUCAUCUCCACGAAGCCCGGUGUCAUUGAUCCGACCAUGUAUGAACGACAACGCUGCGGCGACACGAAUUGCUAAAGGCAAGGUGAAUCGAUGACGCAAGCAAUGCAGGUGGCGGCGCCAGGUGCGCUGAUGACGUUCCGAUCAUUAUAAGCAGUUAUCGCUCUUUAGCGCCUUAUACAUCCGCGUCGAACCAUCAUGAACCGUGAUCGACCGUACUCCGGCCUGGAGACUGCGUAUGGUGCGGCCGCGCGGGCCCUAUCUUGAUAGCCAUCUGCGAUCGGGGACAGAGUGCGCCGAGCGCUGAUAAGUUUCGCGUGCGCUGCGUUCUCGCCGCCUAGUUCGCGUUGAAGCGAGAGGCAGCACGAAGGUCAAUUCGCUGAUUGCUGGGGGCCCUAUCUUGAAAGCGAUCGUCUUACGUGACGGACGGGCGGGUUUCCUCGUUGGGUAGGCAUAGAAAUGCUCACGCAUUUAAAAAAUGGUAUCAUUACCGCUCGUUGAAAGCCAGGUGGUGGCCUGGGCAUAGCCUCCGAGACCAGGCCCCGGUGUUCUGAAUGUGACGGUGGUCAUAGUUUAGGAUUUGCGUCGUAUUAGCUAACUACCAUACCGCGUCGUCUUAGAUGCUAUUCAAAGGCUGUUAAUAAUACUAUAUAUAUAAACAGCCAGCCCUAAAGCUUCGCUAAGGUUGCUUCAAUAGUAUAUAUUACUCAUUUAUAUUUUCACCAAUUUAGCCAACGCAAGAAGUUCGGUACAGUUGGCUGUUAAUCAGCCCUUUCGACUUCUUAUCAUUUGCGGUUUACCGGAAUUGUGCACGGUAGCCGCGACGCUGCUGGCGAGAUCUUGUGACGCAGGCUUUAACUAGAGAGCACACAAAUCAAAUGCUGCAGUAACCCGCCGUAUGCUGCUUAACUGCUGGUGCAAGGCGUUCCGACAUAAUCGUUAACGCGAAGUCCCUUCAUGAUUUUCCUUCGACGAGCAUACUCGAUCAUGCGACACAAAAAUGUUUCAAACACAUUGUAGUUGAACAAGGCCGCACAAGAUGCCAGCUUUACAUCUAUCGUCCACGGCUCCCUCCGGUAAACCGGUAAAUCGCCAAUUGCGGACAACCUAUAGAACUAUCUAAUGCUAACCAGCGCGAGAUGAAUUAUACGCAGACCGAGCAGAGAGGCCUGCGAUUGCGUCGUGACAGAGUUUUAACGUGUCCGGUAUUCCGGUGUGCAAUGCAUAGCGGAAUUCCGGUGUCCGGUAUUCCAAUGGCGUUUGCGUAAUACCGGGUUUACCGGACGCUGGUAUAGUGACUUCUUGUGACGCUUUCUCUACCCACAAAGCCUUAGAGACCCGUUUUCGUGUUCCGCUAAUGUUCUUUUCGAGAAAAAAAAAUAUUUAAAAAGGCAACGCGUCCGCGAUUACGCCGCUGCCGAAAUUUGCACCAGCAGCGAAUUAGAAUAAGCAUGGCUACUGCAGUCUUAUAAUACUUCCGUGUUUGCCUGGUAGAGAUUUGCCUCUUUGUCUGGUAAGCGUUUGGCGCCUCCGGCAAUCCGCGAAGCGCAAUAUGUUUGACGACCAACUAAAACUCUCGAUCUAGCCUGUGGAAAGAGCCCGCGGCCUCGGUGGCUUUACGAGUAUACUCGUAUAACCUAGACGGUAUAGCAUAAGGUCGUCGAGACUCUUCCUCGAUGCUGGGGGAAAAUCCAGGAAGCGGCAGCAACGGCGUGUGGGAAUACCCUCGUCUUUUUCCGAGUGUCAGGAGCUUGUCCGGGUGCACAACACGAGCGUGUACAUUAUGCGUGCGCGCAUGCAGCGACCAGCAGCAACAACCAGCCGCCGAACGGCGUGCACCUUGACUUGGAGCGGUGACAACAUAUUAUUCGGGCCGUUCACGCGCCGUGUAAAUUAGUUCGCGCACUCUUCCCGAAUGAUCAUAGUUACUCGUAAUGCCGUCCAGUAUAUCGGGACUAAGUGGCCACUUGGGUUAAUCGGCACGACCAAAACAAGGUUUUUGCUUGGUCUCAAGGUCAUUUAGUAACCGAACAUGCGAGAGACCCGACAGCUAGCGAUUUUGGCUUGGAUUGUGCGGUGUGGUAUAUACUGUCUUAGAAGUGUUUACGCGGCGUUUCAAGUCAAACUAAAACGAACAUUUAAUCUGCCUAAACAAAAUUAAAAAAGUAGCCAAUGUAACGCGUUAUACGGGAACACGCGUGGUAUAUAAGGCGAUAGCAAAUUGUGUUUUCGUUUGCAUUUCAUCUGCGCUGUUUGGAGUUUCGUUUAUUGCGAUAGCAAUUAUACGGACACUUGUCCAUGCGCAUUUAUGCAGUCGCCGUAGCCGUGAUGUUCCGUAUAAAUUUCCUUCGUUAUUCAUUUUCAUUCUGCGCUUGUUCCCGUCUGUCCUUCGGCUUACGUUUCGGAAUCGUGCAGAGGCCGUUAACUAGCCCAGUCUUUGACGUUACUAUAAGUUGCAGGAACUAACUCGAGUUCAUUGAACCUUCCACGUCCAGGCAAGAACAGGAGGAAAGAACCACCGCACCAAACGGAGCUCUUGAAGCGCAGGCCACGUACUAUAUACAGUGUACGAUUCGGACAAUGGGAACGGCAGGCCAUUCCUUUCGCACGAGCAUCGCGCGCAUACCAGGCACAUAUAUGGCAGGUCAUUGAGAUACAGAAGAAGAGAGAAAAAGAAAGAAGGAUACAAAGAGUAAAUCGCUAAUGAUGCGUGCGAACCAGGAGUCGCGUUCGCGUCUGAACUACUACAGAGAAAACACCCGAGCGUUGUACGCGCGGUAUAGGCCACAUACUGCAGGUAUAUGAAUGCACACACAAGCCUACUGGGUUUCCCUUUUUAAGAAAGCGUGUCGUUCUCUGCGGACGGUGUCGUAUACGCGGAGUCGUGCACGAGAUGUACGAUAUGGAGACAGGGGAAAAAAAGGAAUAGAUAGAAUGGGGUGAUCUACGAAGUCGUGCAGUAUAUAACGGAAGAGUGUCGGUGUUGGAAGCGUUGGCGAUCUCGGUCCAGGCUUUCGUGAGAUGCACUUAAAUGGCUGGAGUCUCUUAUAGCGUGCGGAAAGACGAGCUUGUGGAAUGCUUCGCAGGAUAACUUGCCCCGGCUUUCUCUCUCUCUUUUUUUUUUCUUCUUCACUUUCGAGGGAGGAAUUAUAACUGCGUACUGCCCACAACGCGAAGGCCCGAUAGAAGGUCGUAGACCACGAAAUUACCGUAAAAUCGCACUUACAGUAUACUGUUUUCUCCGAUCACAUUGGCACGUCAAACAAGGUUCUCCUGUUAUAUUUCGGUACAAUUGUUUUUUUAAGUAUUUAUUGGUCUCACGUGAUCAAACAAUAAUAAUAAUAAUAAUAAUAAUAAUAAUAAUAAUAAUAAUAAUAACAAGAGUGUUAUUUGGUCGCAUAUUAAGUAGAACUGGCACGGUCGCGGCUGUGUACAUAUCAGGUAGCGUCACUGGUGUGAAGACAGCCGCUCACUGCGCAAAUGCAUGCUCAAGGCACUAGGUGUCGCUGCAGCGGGGGACACGGCACGACACCUAUCGGAGAUCGCAAUCGACGAGAACACGCCGAGAGCAGAAGAGGACCCGCGUAAUAAACUCUGGAUUUAUCCGUGCCAAAACUACGGUCUGAUUAUGAAGCACGCCUUAGUGGGGACUCUCUAUGGAUCAAUUCUGACCACCUGUGGUUCUUUUAACGUGCAUCCAACGCACGGUACACGAAGGCUUUUUUUUUCCAUUCCGCCCCCAUCGGAAUGCGGCCAGAAUCAUUAGCGCAAUGCCAUAUAGCCAUUGAGCUAUACCGAAGCCGCAUAUCCUUGCAAGAAGGCGCGGUACCUGAGGAGUUAGCAGGUUGCAGAGACAAAUGUAAUGUCUCACUGUUAUAGGCGCUGCUUAUAUAGAAGGUGACGCGGGUUCUUACAGGAUAGUACGUACAUGCGAUGCCACAAAAAUGGAGGCAACGGGGGAAAAGUGAGACUUCGCGGAUUGCGUAACCACGCCAAAUCUUCAAACCUGACUUCCCUGUAACACGUUACUCGUCUUUGAAAAAAGAAAAGGAAAAAGCGGAAUGGCAUUCUAAGGAAUUUGCGACACUACAGCUCGUGAUUCCCGGUUUCCGCAUAUAGCGCGCGUCGGCGUGUGUUGGUGGGAAGUUCACGCCGCGCUUCAUUUCACCAUUGUGGGGGCGUUCGCGUUAGGCCUACCAGAUUGCUACCACAAAGGCGUCGUCAGCGGCAUGCGCACACCCUCCAUUUGCGCUGAUGCACGGCACGAAACAACACCGUCCGUCCCCUUUUUUUUUCUUUUUUUUUCGUUUCCUGCGCGGCAGAUUGCCAAAGGAGGCGCGGUCCACGCCUUUCGCGAAAUGCACACUCUAAAAGAUAGGCCUGCCGCGCCGCCUAUACGUCGUUAACAAUGGAAAGGCAUUAGGCCUAGCUGGUAUACGGAAGCCCCGAAGGGGUUGCUAAUAGGGCCACCUUCCACGCGUCUCUGCCAUAAAGCUGUGGCUGGGCUUUAUUUCAGAUGCGCGGUCAGUGUGACCGACUCGCGAUGGGCGUUGUCCGGCGCGCUGUUUCGGCCUCGGCAAGUUAGCGCGCGAUAACGUAUUCCAUUAAAGGAAUGAACACGAGAAAACAAGAGCAGGAGGACAUUGGAAUACCAAGAAGGCAGAGUGAUUAGGGUAAAGUGCGAGGGAGCAGGCGCGCUGUAUAGUACCUUUGUUGUGCGGACGAUGUUCGUAUGCGGCCACGCUGCGUAAUUUGUGAUGCAGACGACGUUGGUAUUGUGAGUAGCAGACGGCGCUAGUAUUGUGAGUAGCAGACGGCGCAUGCACGUCUGCAAUGGGUUCGCGGCGCGUGGUACGCCAUAUACACCUGCCGUAUGUGAAAGUGACAUCGCAGUUCGUACUCUCGUUUUGUGGAACGGAAACUCUCACAUUGACUCGUCAAGCGCGACUGAUAUAGAUAUCAGACUCUUGACAACUUUCUGACGAAUAAGUUCGUUUUCUUUUUUUCUUUUUUUUUUUAUGCUGCCCGCUUUGACAUCUCUGUGCGAACAGACGAUCGCGUUGCAGCUGUGUCGCUUGUAGCCGGCGCAUUUCGUUUCCCUGCAUUUCGUGUGAGACACUAUUCGUCAGCUAGAACCUCGGUGUUUGUGUCGUAUGCUGGAUUUUAUCCACUGAAAGUAAAGUAGGUUGGUUGGCCGCGGGGAGGCAUUAUGAUCACCUUUCCUUUUUGUGGGUCAAAGCAGUUUCGCAGCGUUUUCCCUUGUUUUUCCUCCUGUUUCGUGUUCGGGCCAAGGAUUGCCGACGAACAAAGAAAGCCCCGAAUGAAAAGAAAGAACUCGUGCCGAGAAACGCGAAGAAGGCCACGUUGGAUGCAGACGAGCAAGAUGUCCGCAAUCGCAUUCCCAAGUUCGCACGCUUACGAGUCUUGCAACGAGCUCGUUCCGAGCUGUCAUCAACGGCCAACGUCGUGGGAAAAGUCUCGCAGACGAUCUCGUUUGCGGUCACGCUAGCGGACGACAUUUGCGGGUGCGUUGCUGCUUACGCAUUCGUCUGCGCUUUCGCCAGACGACGUCGUCUGCGUUGAUUGCCGUUCUCCCAACCCAUUUUAUCUAAGCCUUAACUGUCGCCUGGGCCUGGGACUUCGUUCGCACUUCAUCCAUCCUCUGGUCAAGAUUAUGGUAUACGCACACUUUGGCUUUAUCGUCUGUUCGACCCGCGCGGUGAGCUGUCCCAGUUUAUUAAUCACCCGAGUGCGUCGCCCUGCUUCUCGGUCGUUGUCAGAUCGCUAGCGAAUCUAUCGUCUCCUCUCAAAGGAAAGUCAGCUCAGUGUGUCACUAGCGAGGAUGUUUGCUUGGACAUAAGCAUGAAAACAAGAGGAGCUAUGGCGCGUCGUCUGUUCCAUUUCGCCGACGCAACCCAUUUCAGCUGAUCGUCGCUAGCAGUCAAGCCAUCGUCUGCUCAGGAUAUCUGUCGUUUCACCGACGCCUCGUAAUUUGCCUAAUUAUAGCAUUAGUCUUCUGAAAUGCGUCGUCUGUGCGUCUUCAAAACGAUAGCCAACCUGUCGUCUGCACCGAAGCCUCAAAUGCUCCGAACUGCUCCUGCCUUUUUCGUCUGCUCAUCAACCUGUCGUCUGUUCCGAAGUGCUCCUUCUGCCGCUGCGAAGACGGAAGACGAAAGAAAAACACCAGAAGCCAAUCGGCAUCGCGAAAAAAAAAAUGACACGGUGAAGACGAUAACAUCUUCGUUCGUAGCUAGAGAAAAGGGUAGAAAAUAAAAAAAGAAAGAGCGAAGCAGAGAUAUUUAAGCACUGACCGUGCCCCACAUUCGUUCGGGGGUGACGACCAAGUAAAAACGCGGCCACGCGCGCUUGACUCGAGCAAGCUCGACGAACAAAGAUAACAAAUGCUCUUAAAGACGCACUAAGGGCUGCCGUAUAGUCAGCGCGUCAUACAUGCAUCGGCCGUUCACUCGAACGCGUUGGCGUUAAUGGCUCUCCGUUUUCGGGUACCUCGUCGUCGUUCUUUAAAAGGACGCGAGUUCUCUUCCAUCCUGUUCGCGCUGACCAGCUCGCGGAUGGCAGGACAGAGCAGAGGUAUUGUUACGCAAAUUUACUAUGCAGACUGCACUUAAAGGUCAACUGCGGUACUUUUUUUUUCUAAGUGACGCUUUCUUUGACGCUUCCCUCCACUUUGCGUGAAUGGCUGCUAUGGCCGACUUAACUGGGUCGCUCUCGGAUACAGCGUAAUCAAGGGUCGUGACUCUUUUUUUUUUUCCUUUUUUUUUU